UGCCCUGUAGUGUAACGGUAGCACUCUUGACUCUGGAUCAAGCAGUCUAGGUUCGAAUCCUAGCGGGGCAACCA
rnacentral:tRNA from 1 species